AUUGUAUGUUUUUUGUUGUCAUUCAGACAGGGUUUUUUGUUGUUGUUGUUGUUGUUGUUCUCCUCAUUGUUCUCCUCAUUAGGGGCAAAUGCCUUUGCCACAACAGGGGCAAAUGCUUUUGCCACAGCAGUGAAAGCUUGAAUAAG
rnacentral:ribozyme from 14 species